GAAGAUGACACACCCAUCACCUGACCUCCUGCCUGAUCUGGAGACCAUCAUCAUGCUGCCACACUACACACCUUUGAAACCAUCAGUGAUGACUCAUACUGAGGAAACUGUAUUUCCUGUCAGAGAUGCUCAGUGAUCCUCAGAGCAGAGAGAGGUAUUGCUGUCUUCUGAGUUCUUCAGUGUCCCAACUGAGACAUUCAAACCUCAUAUCAGAGCUCAUGUCUUUCCUCACCAUCAUGUGAGUGUGAGAUUGCUCUGGAUUCUGGUUAUGUGGCCUGCAGCACCUAUAAGAACAAGCUCGUACAGUGUGCCUGCAUUCCAGCUUCUUAGACUCUACGCAAGUGGACAGAGUAUCAGUGUUUGGCCACUCUUACAGACACCGACUUCUGUCAACUCACUGCUACUGAUCAGGCACCUCACUCCAGGAAGACAGAGGGCUGCAAACCUGUCAUCGUUUCCAGUGUGGCUUUGUAUUCUUGGGGUAGCAUCAGAUUUUUCCCACAAAUAUUCAAAGAUUUAUAUGCAGUGACCGGAUGUUGUGGAGCUUUGUUAACUGUGUGGAAAACAUCUGUUUGUGAUUAUAUUUACAAUGAGGCUUUAAGGUGACAGUUUCCAUGUAAUUUCAAUCCUUUUACUAAGCAAAAACAUGUUUGCAAUUAACAUAUUUUUUUCAGUUUUGUCUUUUGGAUUUAUGGUUAACAUUCCUCUGUGAUAGCAAAUACUAAACUGGUCCAAGUAACCAGCAUAUCAUUGGUCAAAGGCAAAAAGGACCACAUGUCACGCUAGCAAUGAAUUUUUGACUGUGUUUGUGUCACCAGAUUUAACAAACAAUAUCAGACAUAUGAAACUGAACUCUGGAUUAAUGUGCAGAUAUAUUGUUUUUUUUGUUUUGUUUUUAUUGUUGAAUAAUUAUUUUGUAGGACAAACCGAAUCUAUUUACCCAAACAAUGUAAUUUGUUUGGUUAAAUAGUGGAUUA
ensembl:lncRNA